rnacentral:rRNA from 1 species
GGAAAGGCGCGCGAUACAGGGUGACAGCCCCGUACACAAAAAUGCACAUGCUGUGAGCUCGAUGAGUAGGGCGGGACACGUGGUAUCCUGUCUGAAUAUGGGGGGACCAUCCUCCAAGGCUAAAUACUCCUGACUGACCGAUAGUGAACCAGUACCGUGAGGGAAAGGCGAAAAGAACCCCGGCGAGGGGAGUGAAAAAGAACCUGAAACCGUGUACGUACAAGCAGUGGGAGCACGCUUAGGCGUGUGACUGCGUACCUUUUGUAUAAUGGGUCAGCGACUUAUAUUCUGUAGCAAGGUUAACCGAAUAGGGGAGCCGAAGGGAAACCGAGUCUUAACUGGGCGUUAAGUUGCAGGGUAUAGACCCGAAACCCGGUGAUCUAGCCAUGGGCAGGUUGAAGGUUGGGUAACACUAACUGGAGGACCGAACCGACUAAUGUUGAAAAAUUAGCGGAUGACUUGUGGCUGGGGGUGAAAGGCCAAUCAAACCGGGAGAUAGCUGGUUCUCCCCGAAAGCUAUUUAGGUAGCGCCUCGUGAAUUCAUCUCCGGGGGUAGAGCACUGUUUCGGCAAGGGGGUCAUCCCGACUUACCAACCCGAUGCAAACUGCGAAUACCGGAGAAUGUUAUCACGGGAGACACACGGCGGGUGCUAACGUCCGUCGUGAAGAGGGAAACAACCCAGACCGCCAGCUAAGGUCCCAAAGUCAUGGUUAAGUGGGAAACGAUGUGGGAAGGCCCAGACAGCCAGGAUGUUGGCUUAGAAGCAGCCAUCAUUUAAAGAAAGCGUAAUAGCUCACUGGUCGAGUCGGCCUGCGCGGAAGAUGUAACGGGGCUAAACCAUGCACCGAAGCUGCGGCAGCGACGCUGAUGCGUUGUUGGGUAGGGGAG